rnacentral:lncRNA from 1 species
CCGUUGCGAAAGCUCGUCCAAAAUCCAUCCGUUGUGGAGGCUCUGACGGAGUCUGGUUCUUGUGGGAGGCCGAAAGGAGGCUGCUUAUUGUUGGAGCUCGGUCAAAGAUCGGUUGUUACGGGAGCUCAGAGUAACGACCUAGUCGGUGGAUCCCGCCCCAUGGUAGAAGCUCGUCUGGGAUCUGGCUACGAAGAAGCUCGGCUGAAGUCUACUUGUAAUGGAAGUUCGAAAGAAAUUUGUUUACAGCAGAGGCUUGAAUAAAAUUUUCUUGCAGUAGAUAUCUAGAGUAAAUCGCCCGCCGUAGGAGUUCGGGGUAGACCGCUCACUGUAGAAGUUCGGAGUAGACCGCUCACAGUAGAAGUUCGGUUCUUACAGGAGCCUGGUUGGAAUCCUUAAGGCGGUCGACCGUCGUAGAAAC